rnacentral:lncRNA from 1 species
CAGACAUCACCGCUGCUCCGAGAAACAGAGACUGUGUACCUCCCGCCUCGGAAGGCGAAGAUGAUCGCGGUGAUUCAUUCAUUCUCAGGACACGUGAUGCACACUCUCACGUUCACACGAGCCGUUGUUUCCCACCCGCUCGGGGUAGUAGGUGAGCCGAGGAAAUGGAAGUAAUAAUGGUUUCAGUAGAAAAGAAAAAAAAUCACUAACUCCCCAUAAUGCAAGCAUGCAGCGAGCACCAGUUACUGCUAGAUUUUUCUGGAAGCCUCCAAGUACAUGUGAUAACCUGCGUCAGACCACAGACUCUGGGGGCCCCCACGAGGGUCUAGCACUUGGAGA